UACAGAGGUCUCAAGCGUUGCUCGGAAUCACUGGGCGUAAAGGGUGCGUAGGCGGGUUUUUAAGUCAGUGGUGAAAUCCUGGAGCUCAACUCCAGAACUGCCUUUGAUACUGAAGAUCUUGAGUCCGGGAGAGGUGAGUGGAACUGCGAGUGUAGAGGUGAAAUUCGUAGAUAUUCGCAAGAACACCAGUGGCGAAGGCGGCUCACUGGCCCGGUACUGACGCUGAGGCACGAAAGCGUGGGGAGCAAACAGG
rnacentral:rRNA from 1 species